rnacentral:rRNA from 1 species
UGUGACCUCAAAUCAGGUAGGACUACCCGCUGAACUUAAGCAUAUCAAUAAGCGGAGGAAAAGAAACUAACANGGAUUCCCCUAGUAACUGCGAGUGAAGCGGGAAAAGCUCAAAUUUAAAAUCUGACAGUCUUUGGCUGUCCGAGUUGUAAUCUA